rnacentral:lncRNA from 1 species
AUUUGAAGAAGGACCCCAGAAGGACUGGCAAACUUCAGGGGCCCAGCUUUCAGAAAUUGCUGACAGCUUUUGAAAGGAAAGAUUCUUCUGAAUGUGGCAUGAUGAAUAUGCACAAAAGCAUAUGACAAGAAUAAAAGAUCUUUGGUUUCAAUGAUGGAAGGAACUGCUAGCAGAGAUGCAGAUCUUUUUCUUGGAGUGCAAUUAAUUAA